UAACGUGCAAUGAAGAGAUCACAGUAGUGAGAAUCUUCCUGUAACAGAGAGCUGAUGGUUGGUGUGAAUCAGUACAGGGGUUAUCAUGAAUUACAGUCUUGGAGCACCUUUUUCGGAAUAGAGUGAUAUAUCUUUAUGAAGAAAAGGCGGUCAUUUGAUCGUUAACAGUGAAGAGAGGUAGACGAAGUUAGUCUACAACUAGGGUGGUACCGCGAUAAAUAUCGUCCCUACU
rnacentral:ncRNA from 1 species